rnacentral:rRNA from 1 species
GAUGAACGCUGGCGGCGUGCCUAAUACAUGCAAGUCGAGCGAACAGACGAGGAGCUUGCUCCUCUGACGUUAGCGGCGGACGGGUGAGUAACACGUGGAUAACCUACCUAUAAGACUGGGAUAACUUCGGGAAACCGGAGCUAAUACCGGAUAAUAUAUUGAACCGCAUGGUUCAAUAGUGAAAGACGGUUUUGCUGUCACUUAUAGAUGGAUCCGCGCCGCAUUAGCUAGUUGGUAAGGUAACGGCGUACCAAGGCGACGAUGCGUAGCCGACCUGAGAGGGUGAGCGGCCACACUGGAACUGAGACACGGUCCAGACUCCUACGGGAGGCAGCAGUAGGGAAUCUUCCGCAAUGGGCGAAAGCCUGACGGAGCAACGCCGCGUGAGUGAUGAAGGUCUUCGGAUCGUAAAACUCUGUUAUUAGGGAAGAACAAAUGUGUAAGUAACUAUGCACGUCUUGACGGUACCUAAUCAGAAAGCCACGGCUAACUACGUG